GAGCUAAGAACCCUAGCUUCUCCUCCAUUCAUCCUCUCCAGGCUUUUGAAUGAUUAAAGGUUGGUCCCCAUCUCCUCUCUUUUGUUUCCUAGAUCCAUUGAAGUGAGAAGGACAUGAGGAAGAAAGGAGUUCGAGAAAGGAAGAAAGAUGUAUUGAUGCAGUGGUAUACUCGAGACCGUUGAUUCGCGCACGAAUACCCGGU